rnacentral:sRNA from 1 species
GAAAAUUCAGUUAUAUCAUUGGCUUGGAGCUGAAAGGUAGGCCUCCAGCCUGGAGGCUCAGGCCAUGAGGACUUUCCAUUGGGGAGGUUGCCGUCCAAGAUGAAGGAGAACAACUAACGUAGCAAAUACAAACACUAUCGCUUCGAUCCGGAUCGGCACCGGCACCGAAUAUCCCCGAAGGCGUCACCAUAACUCAUCAACCAGGAAAAGACAA